GACGAACGCUGGCGGCGUGCUUAACACAUGCAAGUCGAACGAGAAUCUGUGGAUCGAGGAUUCGUCCAAGUGAAGCAGAGGACAGUGGCGGACGGGUGAGUAACGCGUGAGGAACCUGCCUUUUCAGAGGGGGACAACAGUUGGAAACGACUGCUAAUACCGCAUGAUACAUUUGGGUGGCAUCAUCUGAAUGUCAAAGAUUUAUCGCUGAAAGAUGGCCUCGCGUCUGAUUAGCUGGUUGGUGAGGUAACGGCCCACCAAGGCGACGAUCAGUAGCCGGACUGAGAGGUUGACCGGCCACAUUGGGACUGAGAUACGGCCCAGACUCCUACGGGAGGCAGCAGUGGGGAAUAUUGGGCAAUGGGCGCAAGCCUGACCCAGCAACGCCGCGUGAAGGAAGAAGGGCUUUCGGGUUGUAAACUUCUUUUAAGAGGGAAGAGCAGAAGACUGUACCUCUAGAAUAAGCCACGGCUAACUACGU
rnacentral:rRNA from 1 species